AAAGCGGCGAACGGGUGAGUAACGCGUACGCAACUUACCCUUGAGUGUGGAAUAGCCCUGGGAAACUGGGAUUAAUACCGCAUAUACUAUUGAAUUGGCAUCAAUUUACUAGUAAAGCUUCGGCGCUCAAGGAUAGGCGUGCGUUCCAUUAGCUAGUUGGUGAGGUAACGGCUCACCAAGGCGAUGAUGGGUAGGGGGCGUGAGAGCGUGGCCCCCCACACGGGUACUGAGACACGGACCCG
rnacentral:rRNA from 1 species